UACGAAGGGGGCUAGCGUUGUUCGGAAUUACUGGGCGUAAAGCGCACGUAGGCGGGUUGUUAAGUCAGGGGUGAAAUCCUGGAGCUCAACUCCAGAACUGCCUUUGAUACUGGCAACCUAGAGACUGGAAGAGGUUAGUGGAAUUCCCAGUGUAGAGGUGAAAUUCGUAGAUAUUCGCAAGAACACCAGUGGCGAAGGCGGCUCACUGGCCCGGUACUGACGCUGAGGUGCGAAAGCGUGGGAAGCAAACAGG
rnacentral:rRNA from 1 species